rnacentral:rRNA from 1 species
ACGCUCGACACCUACGGGAGCAGCAGUGGGGAAUAUUGCACAAUGGGGGAAACCCUGAUGCAGCGACGCCGCGUGAGCGAAGAAGUAUUUCGGUAUGUAAAGCUCUAUCAGCAGGGAAGAAACUGACGGUACCUGACUAAGAAGCACCGGCUAAAUACGUGCCAGNCGCCGGUAGUAUGAGNGGCGNGNGAGAG